rnacentral:lncRNA from 1 species
AGUUUCAAAUUCUUGUUGUUUUUUCUGUUGUUUCAGUUAUGUCUGACUCUUUGUCAGACCCCAACUUGGGUUUUCUUGGCAAAGAUGCUGUUGUGUUUUACCAUUUCCUUCUCCAGCUCAUUUUACAGAUGAGGAAACUGAGUUGGUCCCAGAGAGAGUCUAGAAUUACCCAUGACCUCUCUCCAAGUAGGAAGGAAGAAUGUCAUUCCUCUCCAAAGCUUCCCUGCCAGCAUACAGCAUCCAUGUAAGUAUCUAGCACUGUCAUUGUUCUUUUCCUCAUUGGUGCAAAUGCAAAUGCCCUAGUCAUGAAUCUGGGUUACACAAGAUCUAGAAACAAGAGUUUUUUUAAGCUCAAGAAAAAAAGAUGAGUCCAAGUCCGUCAGAGGUCAACCAAAGCUACUUUUCCUGGCUAAAACCACCAUUGAAAUAUGAGAUUUUUCCUCAGGCAAUCUUCGUUUUGAACAAGUUAAGAGUUAGAAUGGACAAACCACCCAAAGUCUAAAGACAGAAGGGCUAGGCUUCAUUUCAUUGAGUGUGAGAACGAAUUGGUUUUGCAAAAUGGCACCAGAGAUAUUCUUCUAACUGCAUAAAGUGCUGGUUUCUUCAGUGAAAUUCUCCUCUUUUUCUCUCCCCACUAAGGCUGAAUCAGCAAACAUAAUAAGAAAUUGUAAGAAAAGUGGUUCCUUUUUGAAAAACGUUUUAUUGUCUCAAAUGCCGUCAAAUUACCUAACCCCAGUGAUUCUUGCUUUAUGGCUAAGGAAAGAAAGAAAAAGCACACCUACCAGCAUUUAUAUAGCAAUUUACAAAUCACUUUCUCAUCUAUUAUAAUAACAGCUGACAUUUAGAUGGCACUUCAGAGCUUAUGAAUAACUUUACAUAUAUUAUCCCAUUAGAGUUUCAGAAUAGCCUGAUGAAGUAGGGACUAAAAGUUGUCCUCACAGAGGAGGAAACAGGCUCAGAAGAGUUAAGUGAUUUAGAUGUUAUCACACAGUAUGAGAGCCAGAAUUAAAACCAGCACUCUUUCCCCUAUUCAAGUGGUUCCCAAUUUUUUUUUAUUAUUUAAGGAAACUGAGGCUAAGAGAAUUUACUGACAUCCUGGCCAUCUUCAUCUGAACACAUUCUACCUUAUC